CACGUAGGGUGCGAGCGUUUGUCCGGAAUUAUUGGGCGUAAAGAGCUCGUAGGCGGUGUGUCGCGUCGGCCGUGAAAACCUGCAGCUUAACUGUGGGCUUGCGGUCGAUACGGGCAUCACUGGAGUUCGGCAGGGGAGACUGGAAUUCCUGGUGUAGCGGUGAAAUGCGCAGAUAUCAGGAAGAACACCCGUGGCGAAGGCGGCUCUCUGGGACGGUACUGGACGGCUGAGACGCGAAAGCGUGGGGAGCGAACAGG
rnacentral:rRNA from 1 species